CCUGGUGGUUCAGAGGGUAAAGCAUCUGCCUGCAAUGCAGGAAACCUGGGUUAGAUCCCUGGAUCAGGA
rnacentral:tRNA from 1 species